AUUGAACGCUGGCGGCAGGCCUAACACAUGCAAGUCGAGCGGAGCGGCGGACGGGUGAGUAAUGCCUAGGAAUCUGCCUGGUAGUGGGGGAUACCGUCCGGAAACGGGCGCUAAUACCGCAUACUAUCAGAUGAGCCUAGGUCGGAUUGGCUAGUUGGUGGGGUAAAGGCCUACCAAGGCGACGAUCCGUAACUGGUCUGAGAGGAUGAUCAGUAACAUUGGAACUGAGACACGUGCCAGACUCCUACGGGAGGCAGAAGUGGGUAAUAUUGGACAAGGGGCGAAAGCCUGAGCCAGCCAUGCCGCGUGUGUGAGGAAGGUCUUCGGAUUGUAAAGCACUUUAAGUUGGGAGGCGUUACCAACAGAAUAAGCACCGGCUAACUUCGUGCCAGCCGCCGCGGUAAUAC
rnacentral:rRNA from 1 species